rnacentral:tRNA from 1 species
UGAAAUGAAAUCAUUAGAUGUUUCAUUUACAAUGAAAAUUAGUUUUUUAAAACCAUUUUAA